AUUGAACGCUGGCGGCAUGCCUAACACAUGCAAGUCGAACGAGGGGCGGACGGGUGAGAAAGGUCUGGGAAACUGCCCGAUAGAGGGGGAUAACUACUGGAAACGGUAGCUAAAAACGCAUACCAUCGGAUGUGCCCAGAGGGGAUUGGCUGGUAGGUGGGGUAACGGCUCACCUAGGAGACGAUCCCUAGCUGGUCUGAGAGGAUGACCAGCCAAACUGGGACUGAGACACGGUCCAGACUCCUACGGGAGGCAGCAGUGGGGAAUAUUGGACAAUGGGCGAAAGCCUGAUCCAGCCAUGCCGCGUGUGUGAAGAAGGUCUUCGGAUUGUAAAGCACUUUGAGUAGGGAGGCGGUACCAACAGAAUAAGCACCGGCUAACUUCGUGCCAGCAGCCGCGGUAAUAC
rnacentral:rRNA from 1 species